CCUAAUUUUAAUAUGUUGUCACUGAUGACAAAAUGGAGGUCAAGUUCAAUAAUGACGAUUUUGACUUUUACCGUUCAGGAGUUAUGGUUCUUCAAAGAUUGAAAAAUGGUGUUUCCAGUCGUGUCCGUGCAUUUUCUCAUGAACCAUUCAACCAAAGCUUUUGAAAUUUUUAUAUGUUGUUACUGAGGACAAAAUAAAGGUCAAGUUCAAUAAUGACGAUUCUGAAUUUUACCUUUCAGGAGUUAUGGUUCUUGAAAGAUCGUAAAAUGGCGUUUCCAUUCACGCUGUUGCAUUUACUCAUGAACCAUUCAAUCUAAGCUUUUCAAAUUUUUAUAUGUUGAUACUGAUGACAAAAUGGAGGUCAAAUUUGAUAUUGACGAUUUUCACUUUCACCAUUCAUCAGUAAUGGUUCUUGUGAUAUUGCCAGGACACAAAUAAAUGUUAAUUAAUCCGGUUUGCUGUCGUUGUGACAGCCUCUUGUUUAAUUUACUUU
rnacentral:lncRNA from 1 species